CACGUAGGGCGCAAGCGUUGUCCGGAAUUAUUGGGCGUAAAGAGCUCGUAGGCGGUCUGUUACGUCUGCUGUGAAAACCCAGGGCUUAACCCUGGGCUUGCAGUGGAUACGGGCAGACUAGAGGCAGGUAGGGGAGAAUGGAAUUCCCGGUGUAGCGGUGAAAUGCGCAGAUAUCGGGAGGAACACCAAUAGCGAAGGCAGCUCGCUGGGACGGUAUUGACGCUAAGGCGCGAAAGCGUGGGGAGCAAACAGG
rnacentral:rRNA from 1 species